UGGGGAAUUUUGCACAAUGGGGGAAACCCUGAUGCAGCGACGCCGCGUGAUUUAGAAGGCCUUCGGGUUGUAAAAAUCUUUUGUAUGGGAAGAAAAUGACAGUACCAUACGAAUAAGGACCGGCUAAUUACGUGCCAGCAGCCGCGGUAAUACGUAAGGUCCGAGCGUUGUCCGGAAUCAUUGGGCGUAAAGGGUACGUAGGCGGAUAAGCAAGUUAGAAGUGAAAUCCUAUAGCUCAACUAUAGUAAGCUUUUAAAACUGCUCAUCUUGAGGUAUGGAAGGGAAAGGGGAAUUCCUAGUGUAGCGGUGAAAUGCGCAGAUAUUAGGAGGAAUACCGGUGGCGAAGGCGACUUUCUGGCCAUAUACUGACGCUGAGGUACGAAAGCGUGGGUAGCAAACAGG
rnacentral:rRNA from 1 species